rnacentral:rRNA from 1 species
CACGUAGGCACCAAGCGUUGUCCGGAUUUAUUGGGCGUAAAGAGCGCGCAGGCGGUCGUGCAAGUCGCGUGUGAAAGCCCCCGGCUCAACUGGGGAGGGUCACGCGAUACUGCUCGACUCGAAGGCAGGAGAGGGAAGUGGAAUUCCCGGUGUAGUGGUGAAAUGCGUAGAUAUCGGGAGGAACACCAGUGGCGAAGGCGACUUCCUGGCCUGUUCUUGACGCUGAGGCGCGAAAGCUAGGGUAGCAAACGGG